rnacentral:snoRNA from 1 species
AAGACUAUACUUUCAGGGAUCAUUUCUAUAGUUUCUGACUUGAAGAAAUGUGUUUCUAGAGUGUAUGGUCUCGCCAACCACGAUGAUGAGUUGUGAUAUUCCCUUGUGAGCAUGAAGCUGAUAGAGAAUAAUGAUUUGUUUCAUAUAUUGUCUAUCAUUGAUGAUUGUUCAUUGCUUCCUGGAGAGCAGUGAAAGAGGGAAUAUGUUCAGAGUGGU